rnacentral:rRNA from 1 species
GAGUUUGAUCAUGGCUCAGAUUGAACGCUGGCGGCAGGCCUAACACAUGCAAGUCGGGCGGUAGAGAGAAGCUUGCUUCUCUUGAGAGCGGCGGACGGGUGAGUAAUGCCUAGGAAUCUGCCUGGUAGUGGGGGAUAACGCUCGGAAACGGACGCUAAUACCGCAUACGUCCUACGGGAGAAAGCAGGGGACCUUCGGGCCUUGCGCUAUCAGAUGAGCCUAGGUCGGAUUAGCUAGUUGGUGAGGUAAUGGCUCACCAAGGCGACGAUCCGUAACUGGUCUGAGAGGAUGAUCAGUCACACUGGAACUGAGACACGGUCCAGACUCCUACGGGAGGCAGCAGUGGGGAAUAUUGGACAAUGGGCGAAAGCCUGAUCCAGCCAUGCCGCGUGUGUGAAGAAGGUCUUCGGAUUGUAAAGCACUUUAAG